rnacentral:rRNA from 1 species
UACGUAGGGUGCAAGCGUUGUCCGGAAUUAUUGGGCGUAAAGAGCUCGUAGGCGGUUCGUCGCGUCGGCUGUGAAAUCCCGAGGCUCAACCUCGGGUCUGCAGUCGAUACGGGCGGACUGGAGUACUGCAGGGGAGACUGGAAUUCCUGGUGUAGCGGUGAAAUGCGCAGAUAUCAGGAGGAACACCGGUGGCGAAGGCGGGUCUCUGGGCAGUUACUGACGCUGAGGAGCGAAAGCGUGGGAGCGAACAGG